CCGCACAAGCGGUGGAGCAUGUGGUUUAAUUCGAUGCAGCGCGAAAACCUUACCACCUUUGACAUGUACGGAAUCCUUUAGAGAUAGAGGAGUGCUCGAAAGAGAGCCGUAACACAGGUGCUGCAUGGCUGUCGUCAGCUCGUGUCGUGAGAUGUUGGGUUAAGUCCCGCAACGAGCGCAACCCUUGUCAUUAGUUGCUACAUUCAGUUGGGGCACUCUAAUGAGACUGCCGGUGACAAACCGGAGGAAGGUGGGGAUGACGUCAAGUCCUCAUGGCCCUUAUAGGUGGGGCUACACACGUCAUACAAUGGAUGGUACAAAGGGUCGCCAACCCGCGAGGGGGAGCCAAUCCCAUAAAGCCAUUCGUAGUCCGGAUCGCAGUCUGCAACUCGACUGCGUGAAGUCGGAAUCGCUAGUAAUCGUGGAUCAGAAUGUCACGGUGAAUACGUUCCCGGGUCUU
rnacentral:rRNA from 1 species